rnacentral:rRNA from 1 species
GACGAACGCUGGCGGCGUGCUUAACACAUGCAAGUCGAACGGAGUGGCGAACGGGUGAGUAACACGUGGGUGAUCUGCCUUGCACUUCGGGAUAAGCUUGGGAAACUGGGUCUAAUACCGGAUAGUGCAAGAUGAGCUCGCGGGCUAUCAGCUUGUUGGUGGGGUAAUGGCCUACCAAGGCGUCGACUGGUAGCCGGCCUGAGAGGGUGGACGGCCACAUUGGGACUGCGAUACGGCCCAGUCUCCUACGGGAGGCAGCGGUGGGGAAUAUUGCACAAGCGGCGGAAGGCGGAUGAAGCGGCGUUGGGUGGGGGAUGAAGGGUUUCGGGUUGUAAACUCCUUUCGACAGGGACGCGGUACCUGUAUAAGAAGCACCGGCUAACUACGUGCCAGCAGCCGCGGUAAUAC